UGGGGAAUAUUGCACAAUGGGCGCAAGCCUGAUGCAGCCAUGCCGCGUGUGUGAAGAAGGCCUUCGGGUUGUAAAGCACUUUCAGCGGGGAGGAAGGCGAUAAGGUUAAUAACCUCAUCGAUUGACGUUACCCGCAGAAGAAGCACCGGCUAACUCCGUGCCAGCAGCCGCGGUAAUACGGAGGGUGCAAGCGUUAAUCGGAAUUACUGGGCGUAAAGCGCACGCAGGCGGUUUGUUAAGUCAGAUGUGAAAUCCCCGGGCUCAACCUGGGAACUGCAUCUGAUACUGGCAAGCUUGAGUCUCGUAGAGGGGGGUAGAAUUCCAGGUGUAGCGGUGAAAUGCGUAGAGAUCUGGGGGAAUACCGGUGGCGAAGGCGGCCCCCUGGACGAAGACUGACGCUCAGGUGCGAAAGCGUGGGGAGCAAACAGG
rnacentral:rRNA from 1 species